rnacentral:rRNA from 1 species
CAGCAGCCGCGGUAAUACGGAGGGGGCUAGCGUUGUUCGGAAUUACUGGGCGUAAAGCGCACGUAAGCGGCUUGGUAAGUUAGAGGUGAAAGCCUGGAGCUCAACUCCAGAAUUGCCUUUAAGACUGCCGAGCUAGCAGGUGAGAGAGGUAAGUGGAAUUCCGAGUGUAGAGGUGAAAUUCGUAGAUAUUCGGAAGAACACCAGUGGCGAAGGCGGCUUACUGGCUCAUACUGGACGCUGAGGUGCGAAAGCGUGGGGAGCAAACAGGAUUAGAUACCCGAGUAGUCCCUGUCUCUUAUAC